rnacentral:tRNA from 1 species
GCGAGUAUGGCGUAACGGUAGCGUUACAGUCUUCCAAACUGAAGGUGCUGGUUCGAGUCCGGCUACUCGCA